UCCCUGGAGGACCAGUGGUUAGGCCACAGCGCUCUCACCGCUGCGGCCUGGUUCAAUUCCCAAGCCCAAAAA
rnacentral:tRNA from 1 species